AACGAACGCUGGCGGCAUGCCUAACACAUGCAAGUCGAACGAGAUCUUCGGGUCUAGUGGCGCACGGGUGCGUAACGCGUGGGAAUCUGCCCUUUGGUUCGGAAUAACAGUUGGAAACGACUGCUAAUACCGGAUGAUGACGAAAGUCCAAAGAUUUAUCGCCAGAGGAUGAGCCCGCGUAGGAUUAGCUAGUUGGUGUGGUAAAGGCGCACCAAGGCGACGAUCCUAGCUGGUCUGAGAGGAUGAUCAGCCACACUGGGACUGAGACACGGCCCAGACUCCUACGGGAGGCAGCAGUGGGGAAUAUUGGACAAUGGGCGAAAGCCUGAUCCAGCAAUGCCGCGUGAGUGAUGAAGGCCUUAGGGUUGUAAAGCUCUUUUACCCGGGAUGAUGAUGACAGUACCGGGAGAAUAAACUCCGGCUAACUCCGUGCCAGCAGCCGCGGUAA
rnacentral:rRNA from 1 species